rnacentral:rRNA from 1 species
UACAGAGGAGCCAAGCGUUGUCCGGAUUGACUGGGCGUAAAGCGCACGCAGGCGGAUGCGCGCGUGGGGUGUGAAAUCUGGCCGCUUAACGGCCAGGCGCCAUCCCAUACGGCGCGUCUGGAGUGAUGCAGAGGUCGAUGGAAUUGCCGGUGUAGUGGUGAAAUGCGCAGAUAUCAGGAGGAACACCGGUGGCGAAGGCGGGUCUCUGGGCCGUAACUGACGCUGAGGAGCGAAAGCAUGGGGAGCGAACAGG